GAACCCCGCGGAYUUCGCGCACGUYCACCAUGACUUGAGGGAGAUAUUGAAAGUUUCGUGGGCCAGGAUUCUAAGGGAUUCAAACAUGGCCGACUUCUUGUGUGGUUGUCCUCAGCUCAAUUUGGAAGUUUUUGACCUUUUCUUGGCCUUAAAAUUACAAAACAAAGUUAUUGCAAAAGAGUUGGUAUGUCCGGGAAGAUGUUAAUCAACAAGUCUUAAUGCACCGCAGUAGGAGG